ensembl:lncRNA
UUUUGGUUGAGGGGGUAUAGAGAUGCCAGACGAGAGCUUGACCUGACUAGAUGUUUUGGUUCGAGGGGGUAUAGAGACGCCAGACGAGAGCUUGACCUGACUAGAUGUUUUGGUUCGAGGGGGUAUAGAGACGCCAGGCGAGAGCUUGACCUGACUAGAUAUGUUUUGGUUCGAGGGGGUAUAGAGACGCCAGGCGAGAGCUUGACCUGACUAGAUGUUUUGGUUCGAGGGGGUAUAGAGACGCCAGACGAGAGCUUGACCUGACUAGAUGUUUUGGUUCGAGGGGGUAUAGAGACGCCAGACGAGAGCUUGACCUGACUAGAUGUUUUGGUUCGAGGGGGUAUAGAGACGCCAGACAAGAGCUUGACCUGACUAGAUGUUUUGGUUCGAGGGGGUAUAGAGACGCCAGACGAGAGCUUGACCUGACUGUAGAUGUUUUGGUUCGAGGGGGUAUAGAGACGCCAGACGAGAGCUUGACCUGACUGUAGAUGUUUUGGUUCGAGGGGGUAUAGAGACGCCAGACGAGAGCUUGACCUGACUAGAUGUUUUGGUUCGAGGGGGUAUAGAGACGCCAGACGAGAGCUUGACCUGACUAGAUGUUUUGGUUCGAGGGGGUAUAGAGACGCCAGACGAGAGCUUGACCUGACUGUAGAUGUUUUGGUUCGAGGGGGUAUAGAGACGCCAGAUGAGAGCUUGACCUGACUAGAUGUUUUGGUUCGAGGGGGUAUAGAGACGCCAGACGAGAGCUUGACCUGACUGUAGAUGUUUUGGUUCGAGGGGGUAUAGAGACGCCAGACGAGAGCUUGACCUGACUAGAUGUUUUGGUUCGAGGGGGUAUAGAGACGCCAGACGAGAGCUUGACCUGACUAGAUGUUUUGGUUCGAGGGGGUAUAGAGACGCCAGACGGGAGCUUGACCUGACUAGAUGUUUUGGUUCGAGGGGGUAUAGAGACGCCAGGCGAGAGCUUGACCUGACUGUAGAUGUUUUGGUUCGAGGGGGUAUAGAGACGCCAGACGAGAGCUUGACCUGACUAGAUGUUUUGGUUCGAGGGGGUAUAGAGACGCCAGACGAGAGCUUGACCUGACUAGAUGUUUUGGUUCGAGGGGGUAUAGAGACGCCAGACGAGAGCUUGACCUGACUGUAGAUGUUUUGGUUCGAGGGGGUAUAGAGACGC